CCAACGAAAGUUCUAAGACGCGUUUCGAUGCUUUGUGCCCUUGCUCUAGCAUCACGUUAUCGUCAAAAUGUCACAACAUGAUAGAUCUUCGCGCAACGAGUGUAACAUAACAACUAAGCUACACAUAUGGACAUUAUCAUAUACCUGAAUAGCAGUGCGGACAAUGCACCGAUCAAUGUUCAGGUAGUGCCAGAACUCUGGUGGAAUGGAGGGACCUUGUCAUGAAUGCCGAUGGUCUGAAGCAGGCCGAGACAUUGCAUAUGCUGCUGACAGGACUACCGACCUGAAGCAAAAGUAUUUUCAAGAUGACCUUGCAAUGGUUUGUCCACCAUACUAUGGCAUGGUCUACUAUCCACCACCACCGCCUUCGACGACAGUUUCUAAUUCAACCACAACAUUUUCUUUGAAAGGCUGGCAACCGUAGACAUUUGAAAAACAGGCAUCACCAAGAGAAGGCUUCUACACUGCAGCAGCAAGACCUGUGGUGUUCUACGCAUGGCAGCUGUUUUGAAUCACAGUUAUAUGCUGGCUCCUGGAAAAAAACCAGAAAACCACUUUAUUGGCUGCAUUGCUUAAACACUGUGAUGCAGUUUUGCAGCAUUUACCUGCGUCUUGCUUGAUUUACUGACAACAUGUGAUUCAUGCACUGUUUUGUCACUGCCACCAUCACCUCAUUGACCUGCAAACAAAUUUAUUUUGUUGCUUGGCUAGUCUUGUCAGUCUCUCAUUUACUUAUGCCAACUUUAUCCUACCUUACUGUGAGUAAACUAGCUUGUUUAACUGGUACUUUCCUACUCAUUUUUCUUGCAGCUUGCUUUCCUAGUGCUACUGCAGACAUGAAAUGCCAUGAAGUCACAGCUGCUAGCUUGCUAAUUUAUUAUUAAUUUUCUGACAAGGUUUAAAUUUUUCCGUCUACUUGGUAUUCUUAAGCCUGUUCAUGAAUGAUGCAGUGAUGCAGGCAGGGAGUUUUUUUUUUUUUCUGUGAAGUAAGGAAAUUAAUGGAGAUAGUGCAAAUCAAGCAUAUGCACUCUUCAUUCUUUUUUAACUAAAAAGGAAAGUGCAGGAACUCGCUUGCAGUGGGCCAGACAAAUGUGAAGAGCAUUCAUAUGGUCCCAUGUUUCUUUUUCUCCUCCAACUUUAUCUUCAGGGCCCCUAUUCACCUUACUUUGGAAGUCCUCGAACACCAUAUCGUUUCAAGGUGACAUGCUUCACUGCAGUUAUUAAUUUUUUUGUGGCUCCUCUUUUGUGCAUGUUCUUACUUUGAGCACUUUUUAUUUUUUUCUUGUAACUCCUGCUUUUAAUUUGCUGUUGCACAUUCUAGCAUCUGUAGCCUGCCAUGUAAGCAAAUGUGCAGACCAUAAAAGUUUUCUUUAUGGUAACAU